AUUGAACGCUGGCGGCAGGCCUAACACAUGCAAGUCGAGCGACCGGCGGCCGGGUGAGUAAUGUAUGGGGACUGCCCGAUAGAGGGGGAUAACUACUGUAAACGAUGGCUAAUACCGCAUACCGUCGGUUAACCCCUAUCGGAUUAGAUAGUAGGUAAGGUAAUGGCUUACCUAGGCGACGAUCCCUAGCUGGUCUGAGAGGAGGAGCGGCCAAACUGGGACUGUGACACGGCCCAGACGCCGACGGGGGCAGCAGUGGGUAAGAUUGCAAGAUGGGCGCAAGCCUGAUGCAGCCAUGCCGCGUGUAUGAAGAAGGCCCUAGGGUUGUAAAGUACUUUCAGUCGGGAGGCGUUACCGACAGAAGAAGCACCGGCUAAGUCCGUGCCAGCAGCCGCGGUAAUAC
rnacentral:rRNA from 1 species